GUGCUUUCCAAUGGUCUUAGGAGACCCCUUUGAAGAGGCCAUUCCACCUUUAAAGGGGUUGCAACCCACAGUUUGAGAACUGCUACCCCCAGGAGAUAGAAACCAACUAAGGAAAGGGCAGGGUAACAGUUCCAACCCCAAUGCUGUGCCCACUCUGGCGCCUGUGCUGAUGGAGUGCAUGGUAGACACAGGUGGCUUAAUGUUGUAUUGAAUCUAGUCACAGACACAGUAUUGCAUGUAUCCAGUAUGCAUUCACAACACACCCAGAAAUUUACCCAGUCAUGCAUGUGUGCACCCAUGCAUUCAAUACACACCCACCAUUCACAUUCAUUCUAAACACACUUAUUGAUGAGUACUUAAGUGCAGAACUUAGUGAUGGACACUGGAGGUGAUGAACUGAGCAAGACCCAGCCCAUCUUUAAUGAUCUCAUGGCCUCAGAGAGGAGACCUUUGUAUGGUCAGCACAGCAAGAUGAGGGUAACUCAGGAAUUACCAUAAGUCUGGAUCAUGGAAAGGCUACACUGCCUAUCUUCCUGAGAAGAGGGCAGCUUAGCCUGGCCUUGAAGGGUGUUUAGGAGGUUCAUAGGUGGGAAAUAGGCGGUCAGUAAAAUUUCUGUCAAAACAAAUAGUACCUUAAAGGCAAGAGAAAAAAAUGUCCCCUUUUAGAUCUAGACACAGAGGGGUACAAGGAGUCAGACAGCAGGAGGGAAGGCAGGGCUGUCAUAGUGCUCCAAUUAGAUGCAGGGGUGAGGCCUGGGUGAGCCUUGGGGAGGUGAGACAGGCAGCUAAACACAACACAAAGGAAUACUGAGAGCAGAGAGCAUGCAGGGAGCUGGGUAGGAGGCUUCUCCACAAGUUAGAACCAUUCAGAUGGUUCAGAGAGAGUGGGCGGUCACUGGAGGUAUCCAGUGGGUGGGACUAAUGGGAUGUGGCUGCAUCAGUGGAGGGUGAAGAGUAGGCCAGCCUUCCUUUCAUGGUUUCAGUCUUGGCGAUUGGUGAUAGAGUUAGAAGAUGUGAUGAUUCCAAUGGCUGAGGAUGGAACACCUGGAAUCAGCUCAUUUAGGGAGGAAGUAAGAGUGUAACCCCAGUGGAAAGAUCCCAUUUAUUCCUCUUAAAAUGGGAAAAGGUGGGUGUAGAACUCACUAGGACCUCAGCUGGCUCUGAACAAAUCAUGGGAGAUAUGGACCCCUUGUUUUCUUCUCCUAGACACCAGACCUGUAUUUAUGUUUCUUAACAUAAGACUAGACUCUGCACAUCCAAGUCACACCAUGGAGUCACUCUAAUGUUACACUGCCAAUUUGAUAACAUGAAGACUUUUUUUCUUCUGUCCUGGGAACUGAACUUAGGGCCUUAUGCAAGGAAAAUGUUCCACAGUUGAGACAUAGUUUCACUUUGAGACAAGGUUUUACUACAUUGCUGAGGUUGGCUUUGAACUUGAAAUUCUCCUGCCUCAGCCUUCAAUGUAGCUGAGAAUAUAGGCAAUGGCCACCUGCACAGGUCACAAAGAGCUUUGGACCUCAGGGGACUGACAGCCUUUCUUUCUCAACUCCAUGAUGGGAUUUGGCCUACUACUCAAUCUGGUGAAAAUCAUCUGGAAACCCCACUUUUCCAUUCAACACAUGGGAGAAAGUCAGAAGACAGUCUGAGAAUUUCAACUUAACUUUUCAGCUUCUUUAGGAAGAGUUUCACUGCUGAAGUUUGAGGUAGGCAGGGAGAACCUAGAGGGCCUUUUUGAUGUCUUAUUUUGCAAAGAUUUUUGUGAAGACCUGAGACUAGGGGUGGAUGUGUGUGUGUGUGUGUGUGUGUGUGUGUGUGUGUGUGUGUGUGUGUGUGUAACACAGGGAGAGUAUGGAGGCAAUGUAAUCCCUUGAGAGGUGGAGGCAGGGGAAUCAGAAGUUGAAAGGCAUCCUUGACUACAUAGUGAAUUUGCUUGCAUUUGGGGCAGGCUUGGAUUACAUGAGCCUCUGUCUUAAAAAAAAGGAGGCAGGCAGGAAGGGAAGAGGGGAAGGAGACAGACAGACAGACAGACAGACAGAGAUAGAUAGAUAGAUAGAUAGAUAGAUAGAUAGAUAGAUAGAGAACAAGCUGAUACCAGUAAGACUAAUUCCCCAGCUGUUUUAGGUCUACAUUCAGUUAAAGCUCUGGGCAAAGACUCAGAUCCAGUGUUGUUUUGGGUCCAGUGUUGUUUUGGGUCCAGUGUUGUUUUGGGUCCUGUGUUGUUUUGGGUCCUGUGUUGUUGUUUCCAGGCGGGUGGGGCUGUUUCAGUCACAGUGGGUCUGUGUCUACUUUCAUUUUACAUAUACUCACUGAUAUUUACACCUGAAGGCUCUGUGCUUGUCCUUGGGCACCAGAUACAAGUCUACUCCAUCAGAGCUCCUAGGCAGGACACAGGUAGUCCUGACUGUUGGAGUUCCUCUUGCCUCAGGUCUCUGAUGUUCGAUGGGAACCCAGCCCUUAGAGAUUUUUGGAGUCCAUGGACCAGCUGGAAGGACCAAGCUUGAGAUUCUGUUUUUGCCAUUGACUCCCUGUGUGACUCUUGUUCCUUGAGCCUCAGUUUCUUCAGCAGUUAAAUGGGAGCAAUUUGUGUACUUCAUGUUUGCAUGAAGACUAAAUGAUGCACCAUAGAGGCUCUCCCUAGGAAUGUGAGGUGCCUAGAGUAUGUCAUGGUGUGGGGGCAGGCUGGCCAGGCUUCAACAGUUGGGCUCUAGGAGCCUCUGGAGAAUACCUUCCUAGAUUCACAAGCUCGGCUUGAGGAUGGCAAAUUGAAUGGGGAAGAUACUAUGAUUGAGGGUCCCUCACUCAAAUCUCUGGACAGUGCAGAGACAACCAGAAAACCUCACAUGCAAAGAAGUGAGAGUCUAUAGCUUUCAUGCCAAAGGUUCCAACCAUGAGGAAGGGAUGCUCUCUAUGUGGGUGCCAGUCUGAAUCAGGGGACAGUGCCAAUGCUCUUGGCCUGUGGCUUGUCUUCCACUAACCUGGUCCUGGAAGAAGGAACUGGUGACCCAUCUUGGCAGAAAAGAGUCCUUUGAGGAUAUUCUGAAAUUGUCACUUCAAGAUAGGCCGGAGCAUCUGAGGGGAAGGAGAGAGGGACAGGAAGGUGGGUGAGAAAGGGUUGAGCUUGUUUUUAAGACUGUAUUAGUCACUUUCUUGUUUAACAGAAUACCCCACGAAGCAAUUUAAGGAGGGAAGGCUUGGUUGCUUUAGGCUCACAGUUCCAAGGCAGAGAGGCCAGAAGGCUUGGUGGCAGGAACAUGAGGCAGCUGGUCAUUGUAUCCAGAGUCCAGAAGCAAAGGGAGAGACAAAUGGUGGUGUGCAGCUUGCUUUGGUUUUUCCUUCUCAUUCAGUUCAGGACCCCAACCCAUGGAUGGAACUACCCACUAAGGAUGGCCUUCUUGCUUAGUUAACCCUCACAAGCAUGCCCAGAUGCUCGUCUCCCAGGGAACUCUAGAUCCUGUCAAGUGGACAAGACUGACCAUCACAGUGGUCAAUUUGACUACACUCUCUCACCUCCGAACUGCACUUGGAAAUGAAAUAGUAAUGACACUUUUCUGGGAGAAGUGUUCAAGUCACCAAUGUAUCCAUGAAGCUUAGCGCAUCCUGAAGGCUAGAGCUCUGCCUGUUGACUACUGCUCUGGGAAUGCCAUUGUCCCGUCAGCUUCGUUGACCUACAGUGUUCUUUCAUCUCCACGAGUCCAAACAGAAAUCUGCAUGGAAGAUUUGAGACCCACACUUCUACUGGCAUUAUCAGAACAUCCCUGGGAGUGUAUUAAUAGCCUGGAGUCAAGAAAAUGUAAAGCUAUGGAUUCCUUCUAGACUAAUAUGGUUUGAUCAAGCAAGACCCCCCUAAAACACUGUCCCAGGUGAUCCAACAUCUAAAACAGCUAAGAUGAUACAGCCUUACAGACUACAAAAACAAGGACCUGGCCAGGUUUCUGUGUUUUAUCAUGAUCCCCAUGGUAUGGACAUCGUCCCCAACCAGCAGGAAGCAGUUUGGAAUGAACGACACCCAAAUUCCCAAAUAUUGUUUAUAAAUGUUUGUUUUCAUUUACAUGGGAUUGGUUAUAAAUUGUAACGAUCACAGUCAAUCUCUUUUUAAAGGGAAAAAAACAACCGGGAAUAGGAUAUAGAAAUGAAUACUUUGCAUUGGUAUGGAUUUUCAUUUAUUGAUACAACUUUAAGGUCAAUUUUGUGAUAUGCAUAUUUCUCCUCUCAUUUAGGUAUUGUGUUUAUACAGCUCUUUUAAAAUGUAAUGCAUAAUUAGAUACAGAUUGUAUAUAGU
ensembl:lncRNA